GCUCCCGUCGUCCAAAGGAUAGGGCACACGGCUACGGACCGUGGAAUAGGGGUUCGAAUCCUCUCGGGAGUA
rnacentral:tRNA from 2 species